rnacentral:rRNA from 1 species
UACGAAGGGGGCUAGCGUUGCUCGGAAUCACUGGGCGUAAAGCGCACGUAGGCGGCUUGCUAAGUCAGGGGUGAAAUCCCGGAGCUCAACUCCAGAACUGCCUUUGAUACUGGCGAUCUCGAGUCCGGGAGAGGUGAGUGGAACUGCGAGUGUAGAGGUGAAAUUCGUAGAUAUUCGCAAGAACACCAGUGGCGAAGGCGGCUCACUGGCCCGGUACUGACGCUGAGGUGCGAAAGCGUGGGGAGCAAACAGG